AAAACUGUUUCUAAGGGGCCUUUGUGAGAAGAGCGUCCUGCCCAGCUCAAUAACCUGCCUCCAGCAGCAAGCAGCGGUCGGUGCGAAGAGCUUUCCUUCACAAGAACUGGCUGCUCCAGCGUGUGUGAGAGACAUGCAGCACAGGUCUGACCAACCGCUCAGUGUUCAGGCAUGGAGAGAGGAUGACAUUUAUCAGGUAUUGUUACCAGGCAACAAUCACAUGCAGCUUCAGCAGAACACAAAGUUCUCCAUACGCUAACCCUUCAAGCACCUCAACCAAGUUGUGCCUGAUGAAAAUAUCACUGAUCCUUGUGAAAGAAGGCGAGGUCUUCUCCAGUCUGACUUGGCUAAGUGAGUCCAGUGAUGCUGGGUUGGCUUUCCCCUCUGAAGAGGACACCACCUACAUCAGCCUCUGGGUCUUCCUAUGGAGCUGUGUAUUUAACAUUCUUCAUCCUGAAAUGUUAAUGGGAAGGAUUUCAGCCUUCACUCAGCACAGUUUUGCCAUCCAGCAUCUUGACUCUUGUUACGGUUAAUGGAGAGGCCAAAUGUGAAGGGUCCAAUACUCAAGGAUAGGAUAGAAGAUACCUGCAUGCCUACUGAGUUCCUGAUACUGCUGCAAAGGUGAACGAUUAACGCUGAUUACAUGGAAAUGCAUCUCAGCCCCGAAGAGUGAAAAACCCAGUCUAUUUUCUGUAUGUCAUCAAACAUUCAAGAGCAAAUAUUAAACUUCACUCAUCUCCGAGGCAGAAUGGAUCCAGAAUUAGAAAGCUGCCUGCAGCAGGUGAAAGGGAAACAGCAGGAACCUGUCUGCAGGAACCCCAGGGCCCCCGGUGCACCACUACAUAUAGCUUUGCCCUGGCGUCAUCACCCAAGCACAGAAGCAUGGCAAGCAGCAGGCACUACCUGCUCCCUGCUGGCGAGCCUUUCCUUCGCGUGCCGUGUGUAAGGGACUGAUACAGUUGCAUUACACUUCAUAGCUUCCCAAAUGUAAAUCCUCACUGGACUUCUGGGGAGAAAAAAGCAGCGAAAAUGACUGCUUUGUAAUGAAAUAUGCAAUACCAGAGGUACCUUGGAUGGAGAUGAUGUGUUUUGGUUCCUUUUUCCUGAGAUGAAAGAAACAGAAGUUCAGUAUCACCAAUAAUUUUGUGUAAAUUAUUCUCUGAUUGUUUUAGUUUUACUCAGCUCAACGUUACUUAUUUUCUUCCCCUUCUUGUUGGAUGUUUCAGCUAUUUUCAGGAGAUGAAGGAUGUUUCACUGCAAAGAAAUGGAAGACAUUUUUUAUUAAAUUUAUUUUGAGCAGCAGAUAAGAGAAAUCCAUGAAAAUCAUUCCAGAGCUAGACAACCUUGAAAUCUAUGUGACAGAAAUCAUAAAAUGACUUUAUCAAAAACUCUUCAUAAAUCAGCAUCCGUCUACUGCUAGACUGAGAAAAACAGAGCUAGCAAUUAACAUUGUAAGAUGCUGUCUGUUUCUCCUUACAAUUCAAGGAGAUCUGCGGAAGCAUAUUGUCAGGGCCAGGUUUUCUGCUUUGGUUGUAAUCUAGAUUCUUGCAGACUUGCAGUUCAGAUGGAGAUGGUGGGAAUUAUCACUUAGGGCUUUGUGUAAACAGAAGAUUGGUCUGUCAAACCUUCUUUUAGAAGUGUUGUUAUUAUUGCUGUGUCUGGCAAAACUACAAAAAGAUAAAACUUAUAAUGAAGAAGAAAUGUUAAAAGAAAAAAUAAACUAAAAGGCUAUAAUUUUGAAAGCA
rnacentral:lncRNA from 1 species